rnacentral:rRNA from 1 species
CGCCUUGCCAGCCCGCUCAGAAACUUAAAGGAAGUUGACGGGGCCCGCACAAGCGGUGGAGCAUGUGGUUAAUUCGAUGAUACGCGAGGAACCUUACCUGGGCUCAAAUGUAUGUUGACGUAUUCUGAAAGGGAUACUUCUUCGGACAAUAUACAAGGUGCUGCAUGGUUGUCGUCAGCUCGUGCCGUGAGGUGUCGGGUUAAGUCCCAUAACGAGCGCAACCCCUAUCAUUAGUUGCCAUCAGGUCAAGCUGGGGACUCUAAUGAAACUGCCUACGCAAGUAGUGAGGAAGGUGGGGAUGACGUCAAAUCAGCACGGCCCUUACGUCCAGGGCUACACACGUGCUACAAUGGCCGGUACAAAGGGCAGCUACCUGGUGACAGGAUGCUAAUCUCAAAAGCCGGUCUCAGUUCGGAUCGGAGUCUGCAACCCGACUGCAUGAAGUUGGAAUCGCUAGUAAUCGCGGAUCAGCCAAGCCGCGGUGAAUACGUUCCCGGGCCUU